rnacentral:lncRNA from 1 species
UCGGUUCCAUCAUUUCACUCUACCUACGCACCCCUCCGCUCCAGUGCCUUCGUCUGCAACCACAACCACGUAACUCUCCCCUACGGAAUAGUCCUAAUUCUGAAAUUAAUAACCCCGGGUUUAUGGAGGAAGACGAUGUAGAAGUUUUACAAUUAUAAAAUUAAGAACCCUAGCUAAGAGUGACAGAGACGACGCUGCAAUAGCAGCUGUGUGUCAGCAAAAAUUGCAGAACGUGGAGUUUCAUUAUUUCAACAAUCAAGCUCUUUCCUUUUCUGAACUUUAAUGAACAAAUUUGGAGCAAAAGUUGUCACUAAUAGAACAACUGGACGAACUCGGGGUUAUGGUUUUGUUAGAUUUGGAGAUGAGUGUUAACAAGUUCAUGCCAUGUAUGAGAUGAAUGGUGUUCUUUGUUCUUCUAGGCCAAUGAGAAUUGGUCCUGCUGCUACCAAGACUGGUGCAGGAGGUCGUAUGCAAGAAGAUGCACUGGUGUUAAGUGGGAUGCCAAGGAAUAUAUAGAAAGAACAUGAGGGUGUUUUCAUUACACUGAUUUUAGGUAUUGUUCUGAUUGUUAUUGGUGGUACUGUAGAAGAGGAUGCAGAUGCCCUUAUAAAGGUCAGAUUUGGUACACUUGUAUAGAGUCAGUUGGCAUAAUCUUGUAAUGAUGACUUUUCUUGUUAAUUGUAACUACGAAGAUGAAACAGAAACAAACUUGUUUUUGGGUCUUUCUACUAUAUACUAGGAUUGAUUUCAAAUACUAGGAUGUUCUUUUAAUUGUGCGUGCUGGUUU